UACGUAGGGGGCAAGCGUUGUCCGGAAUCAUUGGGCGUAAAGCGCGUGUAGGCGGCUUGGUAAGUCUGCUCUGAAAGCCCGGGGCUCAACCCCCGGGAGGCGGGUGGAUACUGUCAAGCUCGAGUCCGGAAGAGGAGUGUGGAAUUCCUGGUGUAGCGGUGAAAUGCGUAGAGAUCCGGAAGAACACCGGUGGCGAAGGCG
rnacentral:rRNA from 1 species